rnacentral:lncRNA from 10 species
AGAGACCCAAAUCAGAAAACAAAAGUUGGGCUGAAUUCAAUGCGAAUUAUUUUCUAGCUCAAUAUUAAUACUGCUUAUGUCAGCUGAAUUUCAGCCUUUCAAUAACAGCUAGUCAAGUAUUUUUUUAGUUGGUUCCUAUUGAUCGUCAUCUUAUUUUAGUGGAAUCCAUUAUAUUGAAGAUGUCAAGUUCCUCAUUUCCCAUACAAAGAAUGUGAGAUUCAUCUUUCUUGAAUCUUUGCUAAGUGUUGAAGGGGACUUUUGGCAUCUUUUCAGGAGGACUAUAAUUGGGCCCUCUAACUAAAAAGUCUCCUAUGCCCCUUAGAUAGAUGAGAUUUUUUUUUUUGACCUUGUACCCACCAACAUUGGUGGGAGGCUCAGAAGGGACUGUGUUUGUAACUUUCACUUUGGGAGGCCGUGGUGGGCAGAUCACGAGGUCAGGAAAUCGAGACCAUCCUGGCUAACGUGGUGAAAUCUUGUCUCUACUAAAAACACAAAAAAUUAACCCAGGUAUGGUGGCAUGCACCUGUAGUCCCAGCUACUCGGGAGGCUGAGGCAGGAGAAUCGCUUGAACCAGGGAGGUGGAGGUUGCAGUGAGCUGAGAUUGCGCCACUGCACUCCAGCCUGGGUGACAGAGACUCUGUCUCAAAAAAAAAAAAAAAAAGAAAAAGAAAAAUUAGAUGGGUGUGGUGGCAUGUGCCUGUAAUCCCAGCUACUGGGGAGCCUGAGGCAGGAGAAUCGCUUGAACCUGGGAGGCAGAGGUUACAGUGAGCCAAGAUUGCACCACUGCAGUCUGCCUGGGUGACAGAGCUAGACUCUGUCUCAAAAACAG